GCUCUGACGAGUACCGCUCCCUUUUUUUGGCCCUUUGUGAAUGAGAGAACCACAGGAUGGGACGCAGCUCAACACUGAGUCUCGGCUUAAAUCUCGCCUAGAGAUGCCUUCUCGAACCUCCCAGUUCAACUAGCUCCACUUCUCGUCUCCACCAAGUUACCCGGUUUUGUUUUCCUCGUGACUCUCAGAACAUUUUCCUGUUUAUAUAUGUGUUUGUUGAUUAUCUGA